rnacentral:rRNA from 1 species
CCUACGGGCGGCAGCAGUGGGGGAUAUUGCACAAUGGCGGGAACCCUGAUGCAGCGACGCCGCGUGGGUGAAGAAGCGCCUCGGCGCGUAAAGCUCUUUCAGCAGGGAAGAAAAUGACGGUACCUGAAGAAGAAGCCCCGGCUAACUACGUGCCAGCAGCCGCGGUAAUACGGCGGGGGCAAGCGUUAUCCGGAUUUACUGGGUGUAAAGGGGGCGCAGGCGGCGAUGCAAGCCAGGAGUGAAAGCCCGGGGCCCAACCCCGGGACUGCUCUUGAAACUGCGUGGCUGGAGUGCAGGAGGGGCAGGCGGAAUGCGUGGUGUAGCGGUGAAAUGCGUAGAUAUCGCACAGAACACCGAUUGCGAAGGCAUCUGACG